rnacentral:rRNA from 1 species
GAUGAACGCUGGCGGCGUGCCUAAUACAUGCAAGUCGAGCGAACAGACGAGGAGCUUGUUCCUCUGCCGUUAGCGGCGGACGGGUGAGUAACACGUGGAUAACCUACCUAUAAUACUGGGAUAACUUCGGGAAACCGGAGCUACUACCGGAUAAUAUAUCGAACCGCAUGGUGCAAUAGUGAAAGACGGCUUUGCUGUCUCUUAUAGAUGGAUCCGCGCCGCAUUAGCUAGUUGGUAAGGUAACGGCUUACCAAGGCAACGAUGCGUAGCCGACCUGAGAGGGUGAUCAGCCACACUGGAACUGAGACACGGUCCAGACUCCUACGGGAGGCAGCAGUAGGGAAUCUUCCGCAAUGGGCGAAAGCCUGACGGAGCAACGCCGCGUGAGUGAUGAAGGUCUUCGGAUCGUAAAACUCUGUUAUUAGGGAAGAACAAAUGUGUAAGUAACUAUGCACGUCUUGACGGUACCUAAUCAGAAAGCCCCGGCUAACUUCGUG